rnacentral:rRNA from 1 species
GACGAACGCUGGCGGCGUGCUUAACACAUGCAAGUCGAACGGAAAGGCCCUGCUUUUGUGGGGUGCUCGAGUGGCGAACGGGUGAGUAACACGUGAGUAACCUGCCCUUGACUUUGGGAUAACUUCAGGAAACUGGGGCUAAUACCGGAUAGGAGCUCCUGCUGCAUGGUGGGGGUUGGAAAGUUUCGGCGGUUGGGGAUGGACUCGCGGCUUAUCAGCUUGUUGGUGGGGUAGUGGCUUACCAAGGCUUUGACGGGUAGCCGGCCUGAGAGGGUGACCGGCCAAAUGGGGAAGGAGAUACGGCCCAGACUCCUGGGGGGGGGAGCAGGGGGGAAUAUGGCAAAAGGGGGGGAAGCCUGAUGCAGAAACGCCGGGGGGGGGAGGACGGCCUUCGGGUGUUAAACCGCUUUCGCCUGGGACGAAGCGGGGGGGGCGGAAAUGGGAAAAGAAGCACCGGCAAACUACGG